CCCCCCCCCGUUGGACCUGCUGACUGCUCCGGACUGGGAUUCAGAACACCGAGAGAGAGAGAGGUUACACCUUGUGGCUGCAGCAGCUGCCUCAGCACCGGAGGGACUGACAACAGCAAACCCCCAGGAGAGACUUUUCUGAAUUUGUCAUCUUUCUCAGAGCAGUGGAAGAGUGGUGUCAUCCGGUAUUGCUCAUUGUGUGUGCUGGGGGGUGCUGUGCUUGUCAAAUAAACAGGUUCUUUCCA